AAACCGCUAACUGCCGCUAACUUGUCCACUCAGAUAGCCACGCAGCUAGUUUGACCAUUGGCGGAGUUUUGGUUUUUAUACUGCUUUCACAGGAGGUCUUGAGGUUCUCAGGCCAAGGGCUUGCUGGUUAUCAUUGCAAUGUCACUAGAAAUCCCUGCAACACAGUCAUAUAUGUCUUUGAAACAAUGUCCAUUUAGUAACUACAAUUCGAAACAUAAGCCCUUUAAUUUGGCAGUAAAAUAAUCAGCCAUAAAAACUGGCUCAUCUCAGCCCAUUCUCCCCUAAGACAUCGUGUGGAGACAUCCACCAGUUGCAAUGAAUAGCAAGGAAUACGCACUGAACAUCAUUUAGACAAUAGCCGAGCUGGUCUCCUACUGUGUGUGAUGACGUGUUUUUUGUCAUGCUCUGUUUUCUGGCACUGCACCAAUUCUUCACAGAGGCAGCAUGUACCCUCUUCCCAGGAGUCAGAUGAGCUUGGCCUUGCCACAGAAAGACGACAAUAUCUAUCUCGGUUUAGUCUGCUCCCCUCUGAGCUCACAGGUGUGACUGCAGGGAAAUAGCUGAAAUCUUGUCCCCAGGACGCUGACGUGUAUUUCAGCGCCACAGUAUAAAAGGUGGCUCCACACUUCUCAGCUCAUAGGGCAGAUCAGGAAAUCACUGUAGCCCGUAGCUCACCCCAUGUGAGCUUCUGUGGAGGCAGACAGAUUGGAAAUAGUUUCCGGAGCCAAGCAUCAUUCAGAUGUCUUAAACCAAAUGAAAUGUUCCCCAGGAUACCUGCUCAAUCGCCUCAGCCAGCUCCCUUUGCUCGCCUUCCAGGUGAUGCUUCCACUUCUUCACAGCGCAGUCCUUGAUGCCUUGCUGCCGAUGCCCACGCCCACCAGGACGCUCUGUAAAUGGUGUGGGGAUAUCUGGGUCGGCAGAAAGCUCCAAAGCUGGUAUGCAGAGAGUUCCUAGUUUUCCAAAAUCGACAAUCACGCCGACUUCGAGCAGCCACUGGCCAGGUGAGCAUGAGUAAUUGCUGUUGGAGAUCUUGACGACCCCCUGAUGUGCCCGGGUGCACCCAGCUCACGAAGUGUCUGCAGGAUACUCAAGGCUCUCUGGUCCCUUUGGCUCAUCUUCCGAAUGUCAUGGCCUCACUCAGUAUUUCUCAUGCAUAUGCAGAUAAAACUCAGUUUGGAUGUACGACUGAACAAAUGAAUGCACUCUCUCAGAAGGGUUCUAUGUGGCCAUCAAAUGUUUUUUGCAGAAACCUUUACUCCUGGGUUUUUACAGAUCAUUUCUGUUUCAAGUCUUUUUGGAAGCCCUACGCAAAAUGUGGUUGUUGUCGUCCCUGUUUUGCAAACUAUGGUGGGAGGAUUUAAAACCUUUUCGAUUUAAUUUUUAAAAAUACUAUUAUUUGAAGGCACUAUUUGAAGCUUAUAGGCAACAUCAUAUUCUUAUUGGAAGGUAG